ensembl:snRNA U6 U6 spliceosomal RNA
GUGCUCGCUUCGGCAGCACAUAUACUAAAAUUGGAAUGAUACAGAGAUUAGCAUAGCCCCUGAGCAAGGAUGACAUGCAAAUUCAUGAAGUGUUCCAUAUAAAA